CCGUAGUUUUGCCUUUAUAGGAUGUCAUAUAAAUGAGCCUGGCUUCUUUCACCCACCAUAAUGCAUUUGAGAUUCAUCUAUCUUGUUGAAUACAUCUGUAGUUAGGCUUGUUACUCACAGGAAAGCAUUACCAUUGAGAUUUCAGACAGAGGCAAAACUACUGUUAGACUUUAAAAAUUAUACUACCCACGUGGCCAAUUCUGUUUCAGUCUUUAUAGAUGAUACAAAACUUUAUUAAUGUAGUUACUUCCUCAUGG
rnacentral:lncRNA from 1 species